ensembl:lncRNA
CCAAGCAUAACCUUAAAAUUUUUAUUUCAAAAUUAUCAUUCUGGGAAAUUUAACAAGUAGUUUUAAAAUGCAUAUAUUUAUUUACAUUGAAAGCACCAAAACAAUUCCAACAGCACGACUUAGUUGCAAAUACAUCAGCAUCUCUGAAUGCUAUAUACGCUAAAUUAGAAAACUAAGCCUUCACUGAUUUUUCUAUGGCCUGAAAAUUUACAGGGUAUGCCCAACUUUGUUACCCUUUAAAACUCAGUAAGACUAUUACAUCCUGAAUUUACCUUAACAAAACAGAAAACUGUAUUCAGUCUUUAAGUACAAUGAAAGCUCAACAACCUCCAAGGCAAAGAGGAAUGUGCUGUCUUCAAGUAGGCAUGGUAGGACUUCCAGUUGGACAACAAAAACUGACCUUGUACACUGAGCCCUCCUUACCUUUACUGCUCAGCUCAGAGGCUCCUAAUUCUGAUGCUAGACAAACCACCCCAAGGUUAUCAAUUCAGAACAGUACUUCAUUAAAUACACAGCAAACUUUAAUGUGACACCAAAUUUUCCUCCAGUAGUUGUAGGUUGCUUUUUAUCACGAAUCAUUCUGUAGGGCUCUUCAAAAUACAGGGAAAACCCUCAAGUCUGGUUUGGUCUGCUUAGAUAGGUUUGCCUGUAAAAUGAAGAUCUCAGAAGUUUUUAGUAAAAUCACCACUACUUUGCAAGCAGCUUUGACAAAGAAUAACUUGUAAAACUGUUACUUUCCUUUUUAAACACGCAAACUGGAGAAUCAGAUAUGAAUAACAUGCAAAAGAGUAUUAUUAGAUUUAUUUUUUCUGAAAACAGUCUUAAGGCUAUCAAAUUUGAAACUUUAAGGAAUUUCAAGGUUUUCUCAACACUGAGAAAAGAUGGCCAGAGCAGUUUUCCCCAGGUCAAUUAUAUAUGAGGCAAUCAUUAGCUAUAAUCAACUUGUGCCCUAACUGAUAUCUCAAAAUGGCUGAAUGUUAACCUUUGUUAUUUGUAUGUCUUUUCUUUAGUGUUAUUUGAAGAGUAUGUUGUACACACCUCAGAAAUCUUUAGACACAAGCAUACAAAAUUUGCCAGGUAUUUCACCCAGAAUCAGAUGCAAUUCCUACUUACUAAACCCUAAACAACCACAGCCCCACUGCCAAUGCCCACAUAAAACGUUCUCCCUGAUUAACAGUUCAACUAAGUUCUGAAUGUAAGUACUACACAAAUUCAGCAUCUAGGAAGACUUAUCUUUUAACGUAACAAUUCUUUUGUUUAGUUACUUGACUUAUGGUUUAGCACAUUUAAGAAUCAUCUGACAGGCUUAUCAUUGUUUCACUUUGAACAAUAACCCUAGAGUAUUUUCCCCAAAGCUUUAAAAAUAAAAUUAUAUGAUCUGGUACAUGUAAACAUCCUCUUUCCCCUUUUAACCUAUAGCACACCAUUUUGUAGAGUACUGUAAGCCAUGCUAACAUUAUGGGACUUUUAAAGCACAGUUUAAAGCAGUUUGUCAUUAAACACAAAAACAAUUUUUAGGUUUCCUUCCAAUUCAAAAGGUUUAAGAACUCAAACUAAUGGACAGUUAGAUUUCCAUUUUGUAAGCACUACAUCAUUCUUAGUAGUUUUCUCUCAUUCUGGAAAUUAUUUACCUUUUAAUGAACUCCAGAACUGUGAAAUUCUUACCUUUUCUAUUCAGGGAUCCUUAAUUAAGCUCUUUAUAUUUCUUAAAGAAGGGACACACAAGGGGUUAAACUUUUGUUCAACUUCACACAAUGCAUUUUAAAAGGAUGUUCUCAAAAUGUAUUGGGUGACACAUUGAGGUUACAUGUUAAUUUAUUCCAUAUUACUAAGACAGCAUCCUUCUUACAAAAUUUAACUUGGGUCCAAUUUUAACAACUGAUCAUUUAAAACAUAAUCAUUCUUAAGUUAACCCACAUUUUUCUACCACAUAUGAAACCCAAAUUAGAGACAAAACACACAGGAGAAGAGGCAGAGAUGUUGCUCUGCCUGCCUCUACUUAGGUUCCACUUGUUGCCAAAGUCUGCUUUAUGAAGGUAGUAGGGAACAGAAACGUUAACUACAGACUUUAAACAAAAACUAAUUUCAGAUUCCCACUCACACUCUUGGCAUUAAGACCUACAGACACACAUACUUGUCAACUCCAUUCAGCAUUAGCAUAUCUUGUUUUCUUUUCAACUACUGUUUUAUGUUCCAGAAAGCGAAGAACAAUCUAAGGAUCACUGACAGUUUAUACAUCAUUAACAAUUACUAAAAAAACUUGCAAAUAACCAGUUAACAGUUAUACAUGGAGAACACCAGUACUGACAAAAUAGUAUUUGUUUACUAGCAACAAGACAACCCACCCCUCCCAAAUUUAAAUUUCAUGCUUAAACAAUAACAGAACAACUUUCUUUACACAAUGCUUUAAACAGAAUGGCAUUUUCACCAAAUUUAAAUAUUUGAAUGUUAAGCAACAAAAGUUAUUGCCUUUUAGAGGUUAAGUAAAAUGUCCUGAAUUCCAGGUCCAAAGUAAGCAAAAGGCAUAUAUCCUCACUUUACAGAUUAUCAAAAUAAAUUUCCCUUACAAAUUGUUAAUUUGUUAACUAAGUAAAUCAAAUUUGACCAAAAAAAUAUCAUAUACAACAUGCAAUCUUAGAAGAAUGUUUUAGUACAAAAAUAUGACAAAACAACUUCAAGGAAAAGCUGUAUGUGGUUAAUAUAUAUUUUACACACAGAUAUGUAUGUGAACUUUUACACAGAAUGAUUACACAUCUUCUUUUUCGAUACUUUAUUUCUGGAACGGUUAAAAGUGGAAGUUGAAUCUUCAGCAAUAUUUAAUUUUCAAAAUCUUCUGGUCACAAUCCCCACCAAACUCAACAGGCCGGGACAAGUGCAAUACCAUACAGAAACACAGCAUUGCAACUGAUCCCAACCUGUGUAGAAAGGGGUUUGAUUUUCC